CAUAAAGUACAUGAGAAAUAUUGAGAGUGGCAAGUUCUUGGUAGGAUCGAUAUCUACCAGCGAACCCACCAGCGAUAGUUGGGGGAGUGGAUGACGGGGAGCCAGGAGCUCUUUGAUCGUAUGACAGACAUGAGAUCCCAGCCUACUCCUGAGGGUUCGACCGCACCCAC